UACGUAGGGUGCGAGCGUUUGUCCGGAAUUAUUGGGCGUAAAGGGCUCGUAGGCGGUUUGUCGCGUCGGGAGUGAAAACCAUGGGCUUAACUCAUGGCUUGCUUUCGAUACGGGCAGACUAGAGGUAUGCAGGGGAGAACGGAAUUCCUGGUGUAGCGGUGAAAUGCGCAGAUAUCAGGAGGAACACCGGUGGCGAAGGCGGGUCUCUGGGCCGGUACCGACGCUGAGACGCGAAAGCGUGGGGAGCGAACAGG
rnacentral:rRNA from 1 species